rnacentral:siRNA from 1 species
UGAUCAUUGUCUUAGGCGCCU